CAAGGUCUUGUGUGGAGGAAUCCAGCAACAUGCCUGCACUAGCAAGGGAUCAUACCUAAAGACCUUCUAGAUCUGUGUGAUUUAACUGGGGUACAGAUAUACCUUCAGUCCCAGGAGACAGAGACAAGCAGAGUUCAAGACCAGCCUGAUACAGUGCACGUUUCAGCUGUGAAUGGAAGUCCAAGGAGCUAGCAGUUGCUCAGUCCCACAAGGCAAGCUGGCAGAGAGUGAAUCUUCCUUCUUCCAAUGGCCUUAUGUAAAAUCUCCAGCAGAAGGUGUGCCCAGAUUAAAGAUGGACACAGCUGAACUCCUGACGGUGGCAGUCAUUUAACAAGGCCACUGCCUUCUUUCAUGUUCCACGAUUGUGCGGUACUGACCCCACUUGUGAAGGGACGCUGGCCCAUCUGGUGAGAGUAGGAAGUGGUAGGCUGUCAGGGAAGAGCUGCAUCUUCCUCGUGGGUCCAGCUGGAGCAUGAAUGAUACUGUGUCCAUCCCUCUCCUUUAGCAUUCCUGAAACCCGCCAUCAGCAUUCCAGGACCUGGCAGAUUACUCUCUGUGCUCGUUGCUAGAAAGCCCACUCCUACCCAUUUGUACCUUCCCUGUAGUCCAGGCUAUAUCCAAGAUUUACUCCAUAGCUGCUCCAUACACUGUUGUCUUUCCAAGCUGGCUGCCUACUGGCCGUUGGGAAGCAAUUACCCUGAGGAAGGGAAGGGAGCUCAGCAUAUCUGUUUUUCUAAUCUCCUUUGAUCCUUUCUCUGCUGCUCUAUCAGGCUGCCUCAGGCUGGUUGUACUUUUCCACCCAAGGUUAUACUCCCCACCAAUUAAGUACUGAGAUCUACCUCGAUUAUGUAAGUGUCUCCAUUCUUUUGCUCUGUUGAGACAGGGUCUCUCUCUCUAUAGCUCUGACUUUCCUGGAACUCUCUGUGUAGAUCAGGCUGCCUUGAAGUCAGAGAUUCAUCCUCUGCCUCCAGUGUGCUGAGAGUAAAGGCAUGUUGUCAACACACCCG